UACAGAGGUCUCAAGCGUUGUUCGGAUUCAUUGGGCGUAAAGGGCGCGUAGGUGGCGGGACAAGCGUGCGGUGAAAGCUUGGGGCUCAACCCCGAGUCGGCCGUGCGAACUGUCUUGCUUGAGCACUGUAGAGGCAGGCGGAAUUCCGGGUGUAGCGGUGGAAUGCGUAGAGAUCCGGAAGAACACCGGUGGCGAAGGCGGCGACCUGGUCCGAUACUGACGCUGAGGCGCGAAAGCGUGGGGAGCAAACAGG
rnacentral:rRNA from 1 species